GAUGAACGCUGGCGGCGUGCCUAAUACAUGCAAGUCGAGCGAGCGGCGGACGGGUGAGUAAUGUCUGGGAAACUGCCUGAUGGAGGGGGAUAACUACUGGAAACGGUAGCUAAUACCGCAUACCAUCAGAUGUGCCCAGAUGGGAUUAGCUAGUAGGUGGGGUAAUGGCUCACCUAGGCGACGAUCCCUAGCUGGUUUGAGAGGAUGACCAGCCACACUGGAACUGAGACACGUUCCAGACUCCUACGGGAGGCAGCAGUGGGGAAGAUUGCACAAAGGGCGCAAGCCUGAUGCAGCCAUGCCGCGUGUGUGAAGAAGUCCUUCGGGUUGUAAAGCACGUUCAGCGAGGAGGCGUUACUCGCAGAAGAAGCACCGGCUAACUACGUGCCAGCAGCCGCGGUAAUUC
rnacentral:rRNA from 1 species